GUGUUAGUGGCUCAGUGGUAGAGUGCUCACCUAGCUCAUAUGAGGCCCUGCGUUCAAUCCUCAGCACCACA
rnacentral:tRNA from 1 species